rnacentral:rRNA from 1 species
UAGUCUACGCCGUAAACGAUGGAUACUAGUUGUUUGGCUUUCGGGCUGAGUGACUAAGCGAAAGUGAUAAGUAUCCCACCUGGGGAGUACGUUCGCAAGAAUGAAACUCAAAGGAAUUGACGGGGCCCGCACAAGCGGUGGAGCAUGUGGUUUAAUUCGAUGAUACGCGAGGAACCUUACCAGGGCUUAAAUGUAGAUCGACAGACUGAGAGAUCGGUUUUUCUCGGACAAUUUACAAGGUGCUGCAUGGUUGUCGUCAGCUCGUACCGUGAGGUGUCAGGUUAAGUCCUAUAACGAGCGCAACCCCUGUUGUUAGUUGCCAGCGAGUAGUGUCGGGAACUCUAACAAGACUGCCGUGCAAACCGUGAGGAAGGUGGGAUGACGUCAAAUCAUCACGGCCCUUACGUCCUGGGGCCACACACGUGCUACAAUGGGUAGGUACAGAGAGCAGCCACUUAGUGAUAAGGGAG